AUGACUGAUACAUGGAGUAUUUCUUGUGGGAAUCCAGGUAAACCAAACACAUCAAUUAGACAAGUGGUAAUUUGGGUGGAAUCUAAGCAUAAGAAGCGGAAGUUUUUUGAGAUAAUUAAGAUAAUUUCCAUUCCGGGUGAGAAAAUAGUGAAAGGGAGAAGGGAAAGAUUGAGACAGUUUCUCAGAAUCAGGAUGCGCGAGAGGAUGGGAAUCGGAGAGACGCAACAGGGGGGCAUCAGCAGGAAAGCAGCAGGUGGGUGCAGCACCGGCCUUGGCCAAGGUGGCCCGUUGUUUCCAGAGCAUGCUUUGACUGCAAUUAUCUCAGCAAAAUUGCAUGGUAAUCUUCUGUACAGAUUGAUUAUUUGUUAUGGUCAUGUACGGCUAGGAGUUCUUUAA
rnacentral:rRNA from 1 species